rnacentral:lncRNA from 1 species
CGUAUGGAGACCCACCUCACAGCCCUGUGGUAACCCUGACGUAUGGAGACCCACCUCACAGCCCUGUGGUACCCCUUACAUAUGGAGACCCACAACACAGCCCUGUGGUAACCCUGACGUAUGGAGACCCAUGGGGUACAGCAUGAAGAUACAGCAUGGAGGUACAGCAUGGAGGUACAGCAUGGAGGUACAGCACGGAGAUACAGCACGAAGGUACAGUAUGGAGGUACAGCAUGAAGAUACAGCAUGGAGGUACAGCAUGGAGGUACAGCAUGGAGGUACAGCAUGGAGGUACAGCACGGAGGUCCAGCACGGAGGUCCAGCACGGAGGUACAGCACGGAGGUACAGCACGGAGGUACAGCAUGAAUGUACAGCACGGAGGUCCAGCACGGAGGUCCAGCACGAAUGUACAGCAUGGAGGUACAGCAUGGAGGUACAGCAUGGAGGUACAGCAUGAAUGUACAGCAUGGAGGUACAGCAUGGAGGUACAGCAUGGAGGUACAGGAUGGAGGUACAGCAUGGAGGUACAGCAUGAAUGUACAGCAUGGAGGUACAGCACGGAGGUACAGCACGGAGGUACAGCAUGAAUGUACAGCAUGGAGGUACAGCACGGAGGUCCAGCACGGUGGUCCAGCACGGAGUUACAGCAUAGAGUUACAGCAUGGAGGACCAGCAUGGAAACAUGUCACAAACAGGCUCUCUUUAUCCCCAGCUAUCAGACCACUGUAGCACAAACAGCCUCUCUUUAUCCCCAGCUAUCAGACCACUGUAGCACAAACAGCCUCUCUUUAUUCCCAGCUAUCAGACCACUGUAGCAGCAAACAGCCUCUCUUUAUCCCCAGCUAUCAGACCACUGUAGCAGCAAACAGCCUCUCUUUAUCCCCAGCUAUCAGACUACUGUAGCAGCAAACAGCCUCUCUUUAUCCCCAGCUAUCAGACCACUGUAGCACAAACAGCCUCUCUUUAUCCCCAGCUAUCAGACCACUGUAGCAGCAAACAGCCUCUCUUUAUCCCCAGCUAUCAGACCACUGUAGCAGCAAACAGCCUCUCUUUAUCCCCAGCUAUCAGACCACUGUAGCAGCAAACAGCCUCUCUUUAUCCCCAGCUAUCAGACCACUGUAGCAGCAAACAUUCUCUCUUUAUCCCCAGCUAUCAGACCACUGUAGCACAAACAGCCUCUCUUUAUCCCCAGCUAUCAGACCACUGUAGCAGCAAAUAGCCUCUCUUUAUCCCCAGCUAUCAGACCACUGUAGCACAAACAGCCUCUCUUUAUCCCCAGCUAUCAGACCACUGUAGCAGCAAACAGCCUCUCUUUAUCCCCAGCUAUCAGACCACUGUAGCAGCAAACAUCCUCUCUUUAUCCCCAGCUAUCAGACCACUGUAGCACAAACAGCCUCUCUUUAUCCCCAGCUAUCAGACCACUGUAGCACAAACAGCCUCUCUUUAUCCCCAGCUAUCAGACCACUGUAGCACAAACAGCCUCUCUUU